GGGGAAUAUUGGACAAUGGGGGAAACCCUGAUCCAGCAAUGCCGCGUGAGUGAAGAAGGCCUUAGGGUUGUAAAGCUCUUUCGCCCGCGAAGAUAAUGACGGUAGCGGGAGAAGAAGCCCCGGCUAACUCCGUGCCAGCAGCCGCGGUAAUACGGAGGGGGCUAGCGUUGUUCGGAAUUACUGGGCGUAAAGCGUACGUAGGCGGAUGCGCAAGUUGGGGGUGAAAUCCCGGGGCUUAACCUCGGAAUUGCCCUCAAAACUGCACAUCUUGAGACCGAGAGAGGUAAGGGGAAUUCCUAGUGCAGAGGUGAAAUUCGUAGAUAUUAGGAAGAACACCAGUGGCGAAGGCGCCUUACUGGCUCGGUACUGACGCUGAGGUACGAAAGCGUGGGGAGCAAACA
rnacentral:rRNA from 1 species